rnacentral:rRNA from 1 species
AGAGUGAACGCUGGCGGUAGGCCUAACACAUGCAAGUCGAACGGCAGCACAGUAAGAGCUUGCUCUUAUGGGUGGCGAGUGGCGGACGGGUGAGGAAUACAUCGGAAUCUACCCUUUCGUGGGGGAUAACGUAGGGAAACUUACGCUAAUACCGCAUAAGACCUUCGGGUGAAGGCCGGGGACCUUCGGGGCCUGGCGCGGAUAGAUGAGCCGAUGUCGGAUUAGCUUGUUGGCGGGGUAAAAGCCCACCAAGGCGACGAUCCGUAGCUGGUCUGAGAGGAUGAUCAGCCACACUGGAACUGAGACACGGUCCAGACUCCGUACGGGAGCAG